GAUAAUCUUUGGAGAAAAUAUUUAUAUUUUCCACAAAUCUGUUUUCUGAGACCUCUUAAAUUGCUGCUGUCAAUCAACUUACUAUUUACUUUGAUCUCAUUACAAAGCUGCAUGGAAUCAUUUCAUUCGCUUUUUUUUUAACCAGUUGUGUUUGGUUCUAUCUCUGGGCUAUUCAGCCUCUGGUUUACACCAUCCAGGCAGUGUCUGGUUUGGGCUUCCUCUCAUGGCUGGCUUCUCAAGUUGGAGCAGUUAUUGCUUGGCCACUCCCAUAAGUUCUGCACAACCAUUACCCAGCACCUAUUGCAGGCAGGAUAAAUGGUAGAUCAAAGGUUUUGUGGUUGAGAUGAUGUCCAUCCACUGGAAGUUUUGCCAGUUACACAGACAUAGACGGGUGCCUAGUCCAAUAAUUAUCAGAGAGGCUUUAUCCAACAACUGACAGGAACAAAUAGCCAAACAUUAGGCAGAGCUUGGAGAACCCCAUGGAUUUGGGGGGGAGGGGAGGGGGGCAGAGUCAGGGAUCAAAAUAACAAGAUCUACAGAAUCAACUAAGCAGUGGUCAUAGUGGCUCACAGAGAGUGAAGCAACAACCAUGGAGUCUAUAGGGAUUUGAGCAUGGUUCUCUGCAUAUAACUUAUGGUUGUGAAGCUUGUUGUUCUUGUGGGACUCCUGAAAGUGAGAGUAGAGGUGUCUCUGACUCUUUUGCUUGUUUAUAGGAACCUUCAGCUGGAUUGACUCAUCUAACCUUGUGCCGGUCUUAUAGAAUCUUUUUUUUUUUUUUCCUAUUUGAUACUUUUAAGGGUGUGGCUUUUCUUUUUUUUCUUUUUAAUUAGAUAUUUUUUGCAUUUCAAAUGUUAUCCCUUUUUCUAGUUUCCACUCUGAAAAUCCCCUACCCUCUCCCUCUGCCCCUCCCCCUGAUCCCCAACCCACCCACUCCCACUUCCUGACCCUGGUAUUCCUCUAAACUGGGGCAUAGAACCUUUACAGGACCAAGGGCCUUUCCUCCCAUUGGUGACCGACUAGGCCAUCCUUGGCUACAUAUGCAGCUAGACUUGAUAGACUAUGUUCAAUGGAUAUCCCUGUGAGGCCUGCUCUUUUAUGAAGGAAAAUUGAGGAGUGUGGGAUGUGGGAAGGUGGAGGCUAGCUAGAAGGAGUGGAGGGAGGGGAGCUUCAGUUGAGAGAACAAUGAGUUAAAAGAAACAAUACAAAUUUGAUAG
rnacentral:lncRNA from 1 species